rfam:Dipodomys ordii contig_7514, whole genome shotgun sequence.
GGUGGCUCAGGGGUAGAGCACUUGCCUUGCAUGCAUGAGGCCCUGGGUUCAAUUCCUCAGCACCA